GACGAACGCUGGCGGCGUGCUUAACACAUGCAAGUCGAACGAUGAUGCCCAGCUUGCUGGGUGGAUUAGUGGCGAACGGGUGAGUAACACGUGAGUAACCUGCCCCUGACUCUGGGAUAAGCGUUGGAAACGACGUCUAAUACUGGAUAUGACUGCCGGCCGGAUGGUCUGGUGGUGGAAAGACUUUUUUGGUUGGGGAUGGACUCGCGGCCUAUCAGCUUGUUGGUGGGAUAAUGGCUCACCAAGGCGACGACGGGUAGCCGGCCUGAGAGGGUGACCGGCCACACUGGGACUGAGACACGGCCCAGACUCCUACGGGAGGCAGCAGUGGGGAAUAUUGCACAAUGGGCGAAAGCCUGAUGCAGCAACGCCGCGUGAGGGAUGACGGCCUUCGGGUUGUAAACCUCUUUUAGUAGGGAAGAAGCGAAAGUGACGGUACCUGCAGAAAAAGCACCGGCUAACUACGUGCCAGCAGCCGCCGUAA
rnacentral:rRNA from 1 species